rnacentral:lncRNA from 1 species
GGGGUAGCUGCAGAGCGCUCCUGCCGGCACUGCCCUGCCUUGGGCGCAGGCCACUCUUCUCCACUGCCCUGAGGCUAUAUGUGUCUUGGGUUGCUGCUGCUCGGAAGGGCCUUUCUGCGUUGCGUCGGCGCUGUGUUUCCAGGGGCGGCUGGGCUGUGACCUUGCUGUCUGUCCUAGCUCCGUGCAGGCUUCUGCCCCACCGGUAACCACCCCCACUCUCUUCCUCAGACCUCCCUAGUCUGGGUCUCUUUUGUGCUGACCUCAUCUUUGUCUUUGCUGCUCUGUCCCCUGGUUGGGCUGUUCAUCAUGAAAUGAUCCUGUUCCCACCUGUGCUCCAGUGGGAGUCACUCUGCGGGACCAGCUCGCACUGAUCCUCUCCUUGGGAAGGCACUGGGGAAUCGGCCCCGCUGCCCAGGAGGAGCGGGUGUUGCGCUUAACUCCACGGAGCUGCUAUGCGAGCAAGCUGGCAGUGGGGCUGUGUGACUUCCAGCUGGGCUCCGCUGGGAGAAGACGCAUGGCCUGGAGAUGAGCUGGCCCUCAAGCAGGAUUUUGGCGUGAAGUCCCUGGGAGGUUGUCCCUGUCUAGCACACAAGCCUGAGGGUAUUGGUAAGUCACAGGAAGAUAACAAGUGGCUGUCAGUUAGAGCUAACUGUUUCUUUGUCUUUACUGAAGCAAACCAAUUUACAGAUUGGCUUUCAUAUUUAGAGACAAACCUUUCCUCAGGUCCUGCAGGGGUUUCACAACAUGCCUGCAGUGGUCAGAGAAGUGUUAGAAUGGUUGUUUGCCCGGAAUAUAGAAAAGGUGUUAUUUUAUGUGAAAGGGAGUGAGGGCAGGCUGUCAUUUUUAAAUUGAAUAAGCCUAUCGUCCCAGUGGUAAUUAGAUACCUUAUUUCCUGUGGCACUAAUAGGAAUUAAUACACAAGUAUCUCUGUGACCAUGUGAAAAGGUUUGUGGCUUCUGUGCAAAUCCAUUUCUCUUGCAGCAGUUUGUCUUAAUCUUACAAUGCGUUUGGUGCUUCAUGGCGGUGCAUAAUUUCUGCCUUUUAAAACUCAUCUGUAAGAUGUUUGCUGAAGUUGCUUGGGAGGCUCCGCCGGUGGGAUGCAGAAAAGAUGUCAUUGACUAUAUCCAUUGGAAGCACUGCGAGCCAGAGGCUCAGGGUGAAUAAUGGCUUAUCUAGGUUUGUUAACUAGCCCCAUUGUCAUAGCUUUUUAAGAAUAGUCAUACUUGAGAUCAGGUGUAUGUUGCUUACUUGAACAUUAUUGUGAAAAGUGUAGGUUAUCGAUGUUUUAAAAUAAGUCUAUGACACUGGGGUAGCAUAUGUAAUGAAGACUAAAUGCUGUAAUACCUCAUUUUUAUAUUAUCCUCUUCUAGAAAAGCAUUUAGAGCAGAUUAAAAUAUUGAUUGUAUUGUUUUGCUUAUUGAAUGGAAUGUAAUACUAAGAAACCUUAGUGAAGGUGAAUGGGAUACAGUGGUCUGACCCCCUGGAGAAAGCAUCUUAUGAUUUGCUGUAGGGAUUAGUACAAUUUUUACCAGACAGUAGUGUCUCUUUAAGUCCUGGGGAGCAGAAAGUUCUGACUUGAAGGCAAAAUGUUUUGUUGUUGUCUUAAAGUUCUUGCAGCUUGGUAGCAAGAAGGUGGCUAACAAUCAAAAUUAAUGACAAUUCUGAGGAAAUUUAAAAGACAAUGUUUAGCUUUUCUAAAAGGCUGUGUACUUUCAUUCCUAAUAUCUGUAGUGAUCAAGCCAGUAGUCUUUUUCACAGAGUAAUAGCCUGCAGGCUGUGAUCUCUGCUCGAAAAGCUGAGCUAUUUUAGAAACGGAACUUAGCUUGUUGCCUGCAGGACUGCAAAAGAUGAUCAGAACACUGGUCUUUUUUUAAUGCUUUAGUGUGGUAGGCAUACUCUCUGCAAACAUCCCUUACUUGUUUGCCCAGUUUUUAAGAUUAAACUUGCUUGAAGUGGGAUUGUAAAACCAUUCCCUGCAUCUAUGUUAGCGGUUGUUGAAAAUCCUCAGUAAUGGAGAUCCUAAAAUCUGCUGGGGCAGUCAGUUCCAUGGCAACAUCAUUAAACAGCUGAGGGCCGUUCUGCCUCCAAGUGGACUUUACAAAAUUAUUCUGGCUUUUGAAUUAAACUAAUAUUAAUUUAGCUUUCUUGCCUAGGAAGGAGAGGUGAAUCCCCUCGCACUGUUUCAGCCUGUUGGAUAUGCUGCUGUGCAUCAUUCAGGUUUGUGAACUGAAUGUAAGUACUAGGUGGUUAUGGGUUCUGUCUGCCUCAGAGGCUGCUACUUCCAGUUGUCAUUUGCGCUCUUUGAGAAACAUUUCAUCUUUUUAUGUAGACAUUGGUCUUAGUUGUCUUACUCUCAUAACUGAGUGUAAAACAAAGAUUGUGGUGUUAUUGUGCAUGACUUCCCUUAUGUGGUGCUUGUUAGUAUACAUAUGCUCUUCCUAGGAAUGACCUUGCUUGUGUGAGAGUGUGUGUGUGUGUGUGGUUUUUUUUUGUUUUUUUUUUUAAACAAAGUAAAGGGAACAUCUUUUUGACCUAAUAUUAAAGAACGUGGCACAUGUGCUUCUAAUGCUAAUGUAGUGUUGCAGGAAGCAGCUGAGAGCAGUCAAUAGCCCAGUGUCCAGUCAUGCCAAGACAGGAAUAGGAGGACUAGCUACUGAGAUUCCCUUGAGAGUGGAGAAAGAGGAAGAGAAUCCUGAUGGGAGGAUUAGCGCAAUCCCAAGAUCAUUAUAUGGGUACUGUAAUUGGGGAAACAGAAAGCUGACAGAAGAAAGAUUAAAGCUUUGUGAGAAAUAAAGGAUCUUUCCCAUCAUUCCUGAGUAAGAGG